UACAGAGGGGGCAAGCGUUAUUCGGAAUUAUUGGGCGUAAAGGGCGCGUAGGCGGCUUUGCAAGUGGCGGGUGAAAUCCCUCGGCUUAACCGAGGAACUGCCUGUCAAACUGCAUGGCUUGAGACCGGAAGAGGUAAGUGGAACUGCGAGUGUAGAGGUGAAAUCGUAGAUAUUCGCAAGAACACCAGUGGCGAAGGCGGCUUACUUGGUCCGGUUCUGACGCUGAGGCGCGAAAAGCGUGGGGAGCAAACAGG
rnacentral:rRNA from 1 species